CUCUCUCCUUCCACUAAAUUCACUCAACCUCACAACUCACAGACUAUAUCUCAUUUCCUCUCUUAUCUCUCUCAUGCAGCGUUUCCUUUCCCUGCACUCUGUUCUUCCUCUCGGACAACCCAGGCAACCAUCUCUUAUCACCACCAACACUGCCCAAACUCUUCCAAAAACUUCCUAGGACUCUCUGCAACUCGUCCUCAACCUUUGGUUGCAAGAAAACCCAUAGGAAGACAAGGUCCACUCUUCGAGGAUCGACGAACGCCGACGAAACCUUCACUCCUCUGACCAUGUUCGUAGGAUUCCCAAGCAAAAUCCGGACAAACCCCGUUGGUUUAGUUGAGUUGAAGGCACAUGACGAUUUCCCUUGACCCCUAGACCACGGGUUUGAGCUUGCAUGCUCGAAUCCACUUCGAAACCGAUGAAAACGAAGAACUCCAACUCGGGCAGUCACUUUCAGGGCAUUUUCCAACGAGCUCCGGCCAUCUUUUGACCUUAAAAUAGGAGAGGACCAUCCAGAGGAGUACCGCAUGCAAAAUAGUUGGACGAUUUAUGACCUACAUGUAUUUGUGAGUAGGUCUUUUCGUUUAUAUAUAUAUAUAUGUGAUUUUUCCUAACAACUGCUUUUAUAUAUUAUGAUGUGAUAUGUGAUGUUUAGCUUUACAAAUAGACUUUUCGUACAUAUUAUUUGUGAGCAUAAACUUCUGGCAUGAUAUUUUUGCAUUUUAUCUGCCCAUUAU